rnacentral:rRNA from 1 species
UACGUAGGUGGCAAGCGUUGUCCGGAUUUAUUGGGCGUAAAGCGAGCGCGGGCGGUUUCUUAAGUCUGAUGUGAAAGCCCCCGGCUCAACCGGGGAGGGUCAUUGGAAACUGGGAGACUUGAGUGCAGAAGAGGAGAGUGGAAUUCCAUGUGUAGCGGUGAAAUGCGUAGAUAUAUGGAGGAACACCAGUGGCGAAGGCGGCUCUCUGGUCUGUAACUGACGCUGAGGCUCGAAAGCGUGGGGAGCAAACAGG